rnacentral:rRNA from 1 species
UACGGGGGGGGUAAGCGUUGUUCGGAAUUACUGGGCGUAAAGGGCUCGUAGGCGGCCAACUAAGUCAGACGUGAAAUCCCUCAGCUUAACUGGGGAACUGCGUCUGAUACUGGAUGGCUUGGGUUCGGGAGAGGAAUGCGGAAUUCCAGGUGUAGCGGUGAAAUGCGUAGAUAUCUGGAGGAACACCGGUGGCGAAGGCGGCAUUCUGGACCGAUACUGACGCUGAAGCGCGAAAGCUAGGGGAGCAAACGGG